CCUACGGGAGGCAGCAGUAGGGAAUAUUGCUCAAUGGGGGAAACCCUGACGCAGCAACGCCGCGUGGAGGAUGAAGGCUUUCGGAUUGUAAACUCCUUUUGUCAGAGAAGAUAAUGACGGUAUCUAACGAAUAAGCACUGGCUAACUCCUUGCCAGCAGCUGCGGUAAUACGGAGGGCGAAAGUGUUACUCGGAAUAACGGGGUGUAAGGAGUGUGUUGGCGGGAUAGCAUGUACGAUGGGAAAUCCUAUGGCUUACGCGUAGAACUGCAAUUGAAACUGUUAUUCUGGAGUAUGGGAGAGGUAGGUGGAAUGCUUGGUGUAGGGGUGAAAUGCAUAGAGAUCAAGAAGAAUACUCAUUGCGAAGGCAACCUGCUAGAACGUAACUGACGCUGAUGCGCGAAAGCGUGGGGAGCAAACAGGAUUAGAUACCCGUGUAGUC
rnacentral:rRNA from 1 species